GAUGAACGCUGGCGGCGUGCUUAACACAUGCAAGUCGAACGGAAAGGCUCCUGCUUGCAGGGGUACUCGAGUGGCGAACGGGUGAGUAACACGUGGGUGAUCUGCCCUGCACUUCCUGAUAAGCCUGGGAAACUGGGUCUAUUACCGGAUAGGACCACAUUUUGGAUGGUGUGGUGGAAAGUUUUUCGGUGUGGGAUGAGCUCGCGGCCUAUCAGCUUGUUGGUGGGGUAAUGGCCUACCAAGGCGUCGACGGGUAGCCGGCCUGAGAGGGCGUACGGCCACAAUGGGACUAAGAGACGGACCAGACUGCUACGGGAGGCAGCAGUGGGGAAUAUUGCACAAUGGGCGCGAGCCUGAUGCAGCGACGCCGCGUGGGGGAUGACGGCCUUCGGGUUGUAAACACCUGUCGAUGGAGACGAAGCGGAAGUGACGGUACCUGGAGAAGAAGCACCGGCUAACUACGUG
rnacentral:rRNA from 1 species